GCAACCUGGCAACGCUGGUCGUGAAUAUAAUAGUUGUUUUCGUUUUGUUAUAGAGGAUUUAAAAAUGUCUCUAGAAGAAGAAUUAUGGCGUGAAUGUGCAGCCUGGCUUACGCGUUGUAAAAUGAUUCCGGAAGAUCACAAAGCCAACCAACCAUAUUCUGAAAUCAAAUCAUUAGCAGCGAUUCUGAGGGAUGGUGUAAUGCUGUGUAACUUACUGAAUUAUCUGGAUCCAUGUGUAUUUGAUUUGAAGGAUUUUAAUAAAAAGCCUCAGAUGGCACAUUUUUUAUGCAUACAAAACAUCAACCUGUUUCUAGAUGGAUGUAAGUCUAAUUUUGGACUGAAGGAAGCGGAUAUGUUUGAACCUACAAUGCUAUAUGAUCUUACAAAUUUUCAUCGAGUUCUAAUCACUCUAUCGAAACUCUCACAGAGUCGAAAAAUUCAGUCGUUACACAAUAUCACUCUUUUCAGGGGUUUCAAUUCACAACUGUCGCAAUCCGAAAAAAGUGGCUCGGAAGAUGAUAUCUAUAAAGAAUUGCAAGUAGCUGCUGUUAAUCAGAUUUCCUGCCACGACAACGAAGAGCAUGAUACCAAAAUAGAAGAGGUUUAUCAAGAUUUAUGUUCCAUUCAAAAUAAAGGCAGAAACCAGUUUGUAUCCACCGAAACUUUUCAACAAAGAGAUUACGUAAUAAAAGAACUAGUAGAAACGGAAAUAAACUACCUAGACGUGUUGAUAGCGUUGAAAUGUACAUUUAUGCAGGCUUUGGAAAAAGUUUUGACGAAGGAUGUGAUUCGAACUAUAUUUCCUUGCAUCAAAGAAUUGGUGGAUAUUCAUGAGAAAUAUUUGAAAAAAUUACAGGAAGCUGUACAAUCUGAUUCUAAACUGAAAAUAAGCACAGUUUUUUUGGAAUUUCGGGAGCCUUUUUUGAUCUAUGGAGAUUAUUGUUCUAGUAUGACAAGUGCAACAGAUACGUUGCGAGACGUUUGUAAAAAAUCGUGUGUUGUGGAUCAAGCAGUGAAUCAAUGUCAAAAAGAACACAGUGGUGGACGACUGCAGUUACGUGACAUUCUGUCAGUGCCUAUGCAACGAAUAUUGAAGUAUCAUCUUCUUUUAGACAAGCUAGUGCAUGAAACAAAUCCGUCGCAUGAAGAUUUUCACGGACUUAAACGCGCGAAGGAGGCAAUGGUAGAUGUUGCGCAAUAUUCUAAUGAGGUUAAACGGGACUCUGAACAUUUAGUUGUUAUACAAAAAGUGAAGGAAAGUAUUUUAGAUUUGAAUUUGCCAAAUGGGAAUAAUUUAGAACAGUAUGGACGAUUAUUGUUGGAUGGAGAUUUAAAUAUAAAAGCACACGAGGAUCAGAAAACAAAGCAUCGCUAUGCGUUUGUCUUUGAAAAAGUUAUGAUACUUGCAAAGAAUUCGAAUGCAAAAAUAGGGGAAGGACAGUAUGUGUUCCGUGAUGCGUACAAUUUACAUGAUUAUAGAAUGGAAAUCUGUCAUUCAAGAAGAACGUUAGGCAGAGAUGGGCGCUUGAAAUAUUCAUUGUUGCUCGCAAGGAAAACACAAUCAACUGCAUUUACUUUAUAUAUGAAAACAGAAGAAGAGCGGGAAAAAUGGAAACGAGCGUUCGUUUUUGCUAUGGAUGUUAUUGAACCUGUUGGAUGUCGAAAUACAGACCACAAAUUCAAUGUGUGCACUUUUGAUUUUCCUAUUACUUGCAUACACUGUUUGAAGUUUUUGAAAGGAAAAAUUCACCAAGGUUAUAAAUGUAAAACUUGCGAAAUAGCCGUUCAUAAAGGAUGUAUAUCGUCUACCGGAAGAUGCAAACAAAACCAAUAUCCGCCUCCUGUAAGUGACAGAUUGCUGUCUGAGUUCAAUUGGUUUGUCGGAUCAAUGGAUCGGGAUGUUGCUACAACCCAAUUAGAAAAGAAAAAAAGUGGAACAUAUUUAUUACGAGUUCGUCCACAAGGAGUAUCGAAUUCCAAUGAGACGAUAUAUGCAUUAAGCUUGAAAACUGAUAAUAACAUAACGAAACAUAUGAAAAUAUAUCAAAAACCGGAAAAAAUGGCUAUUGUGUACUACUUAUCAACCCGCAGAUUUUUUAAAUCGAUUAUUGAACUGGUUUCGUUUUAUGAGCGUAAUGAUCUAGGAGAAAAUUUUUCUGGAUUAAAUCAGUUACUUCAGUGGCCUUUCAAAGAAGUGAUCGUUACGGCGUUGUAUGAUUUUUCACCUUCUGAACCAAAUCAGCUGCUUUUGAAACAAGGAUGUAAAAUAAUUGUUAUAGGUAAAGAAGGUGAUAGUAAGGGAUGGUGGCGCGGAAAAACAAUGGAAAAGAUUCUGGAGUUCAGCGUUCCACCAGGGCUGAUUGUAUUGCUUUUGAGGAAAGCGUAGCUUAAUUUGCACGUUAUGAGAAAUAAUUUCGAACAAUUUUGUGUAGAAGGAUGAAACGGCGUCAUCGAUUGUAUCACCGCGAAUAAUUUCGGUCCAUUCUAUCUCAGAUAUCAACUCAUUCAACUUUGAGUAAUCAAGUCUGAUGCACGAGCUACUAUGGAAUGCAGAUGAAGCACAAAAGGAAUGUGGUGGCGGUCAACUUUCAUGAGCGGCAUGGGAGGUUCAAGUAAAUCGAAGAACAGUGGAUCAUUCGUGAGAGCGAGAUCUAAUAACCGUUCGUUGAAGUUAUUUAGAUUAUUGAUCUGGUAAAGUCGGUUAGCCAACAGAUUUUCCACUAGAACGAUUUCCUGUUCUGAUAAUGCAUUUGCUGGUAGUAGUGAAUUCGUAUCCUCCUCGAACUGCCAAACCAAAUGUGGUAAAUUAUAGUCUCCCAUCACUACAAUAAAAUCACUUUCAGCUGCAUGUUCGAAGAUGUCUUGAAUGUAAGACGAAUGGGCCUCAUACAAAGCCACGUUCGAGUUAGGCGGUAGAUAAAUAGUGCAGAUCCAAAGGGAAGUGGACUUCAAUUUUAUUCGAACGGUCACUUGUUCUAGCUGCUGGCUAUUGUUUGCAGUGACCGAGAUACUGUUCAACUCUUUCUUCACACCAACCAACACACCGCCGCCUCGUUGAAGAGUACUGGUACAAGGGCUCCGAUCGCAUCGAUACAAGCAAUAGUUUUCGGUGAUCUCGCUAUUCAAAAAAGACUCAUUAAACCAGGUUUCUGUCAGUACCACGAUAUCGUAGUCACACUGUGUGAGUGCUAAAAACAAGUCAUUGGUUUUAGUUCGGAGACCUCUUACAUUCUGGUAGUAAAUGGUGAGCGAGUGUGGGACGGUAGCGGUCAACUGUUUACUGACGGUUUCAUUGUGCUGCACUUGAGCAGAGGUUGAAAUCUGCUGCGAGUUUGAGUUUGAUUGCGUGUGUGAAAGCGAUCUGCUGGUCAGCAAAGGAUGUUGUUUAUGCCGGUUGCAAACGAAAAGGAGUUCGACUAGUUGCCUUAUGAAAUAAACGUAUUGAUGAAAGAAGAAAUAACUGAUAUAAAGUAGAAUAUCGAUGUAGAUAUCAAUUUUGAGGUAUCCAUUGAGAAUUUCAGGUUGGAUUUUUUCCUAAGGAGUAUAUUGAGGAAAAUCAUGCAAGCUUUGACAACCAAUAACAUUUGGAAUAGCACUUUCUAUUUGGAGAAAAAAAAUUCAAAUCCUUCAUUGAGAAAGCAAAAAUUCUACUGAACGGUAGCGAGUGCGACAAACGACUUCUCGAACGAAACAUUUGAAUGGAUGCUGGGAGCUACUCAAAUACGCCACACCAACGUCAGAAUACACCAACAAAAUAUUCCAGUCCAGAUUAAGCUCUUUCUCGCAACAAUUUAAAGAACGUGAAUAACCAGGGAGCGCAAAGUCUAAAAGAUUUAUGCCACAAACAAAUGAUAUAUUAAAAUAUAAAAUCAAUACCGUACAAUUCUUCACUAAUUCUGGGGAGUAUGCUACCCAUGUAUACGGCAUCCUUUCUUCUCCCCCUAAAAACAAGACAACCGGCCACGUUAAGCUAAAGCAAAUGAGUUCAAUAAAACUCUUAUUUAAAAAAAACGCUUAUCUUUGCAAAGUUUUAAGAAUAAUCCACACAUAGCACAGUAGAGAAAAAUGGAGCAAAAACGGUAGGAUUUUUUCCUAAGGAGUAUGUCAACGAACAUCAUGCAGACUUCAACAACCAUUAACAUUUGGAAUAGCACAGGCUAUUUGGAGAGAAAGAUUAAUCGAAUCCCUCUUUGAGAAAUAAGCAAAUAAAUCAUUUGAUAGGAAAAAA